rnacentral:rRNA from 1 species
GGAACGUUGAAGACGACGACGUUGAUAGGCCGGGUGUGUAAGCGCAGCGAUGCGUUGAGCUAACCGGUACUAAUGAACCGUGAGACUUAACCUUACAACGCCGAAG